rnacentral:lncRNA from 1 species
UACAGGCACUCAUGUUCAUAUUAUUCAGGAAGUUAUUCUCGCAUUACAAAAGAUCUUCCCGGUUAAAGAUCUUGGUCUUCUUGCAUUUUUCCUUGGCAUUGAGGCAUCUCGAGAUUCCUCUAGACUUCUUCUGUGACAGGCCAAAUAUAUUAUUGAUGUUCUUACCAGAGUUGAAAUGAUUGGCGCCAAGCCUUACUCGACUUCAUGUGUUGCUGGCACUCAAUUGUCCAAAACAGCUGGUGAAGCACUUCCUGAUCCGACUCAGUACAGACAUGUAGUUGGUGCCCUCCAAUACUGUACCAUUACACGACCUGAAAUUGCCUUCCCUAUGAAUCAGCUGUGUCAACGUCUUGCCUCACCAUCACAGCUCACUGGAUUACGGCUAAGAGAAUUCUUCGCUACUUAAAAGGGACGUGUUGCGGAAGCUCUCUCAAAAGGAUCUUCAAACGGUGAUUUUCCAGCCUCAGUCUAACGUACCUUUCUCUACCAACAACCAAUCUAAACUGCUCCAAACGACAACCAAUUGAUUCACCUUGGUUGCUAUUCAAUUUUACCCACGUAGGACAAGAAAGGAUGAUGAUUUAUCGCCACAAAGGCUAAGAGAAGACACCACAAAGGUAUACUAUGAAAGAACUACCAAUUGCACACGUUAUACAAGCGUUUUGGACAUUUCUGGACACCUUUUUCUCACACAAAAAGGGGGCAUCCGGGAUUCACUAGUUUCUUCUCUCAAAAUCACACAAUCAUCAUGUCAAAGAGGCUAGGGUUAUAUUCAUAUAUAUACUCUAGGGUUAGGCUUUAAGUUGGGCCAUUAAAGGAGUAAACGGGCCAAGAUUCAAGCCAUCCAUAAGGAAAACAAUUGGGCCAGGUGUAACUUAUGGACUUGGUUGUUGGACUUAUUUCAUUCAUCGGCCUAUGCCUAUGAAAUAAUAUUAACCCACGUUAACAUCAUAGUCCGGGAUUUAUUGGGU